rnacentral:rRNA from 1 species
GACGAACGCUGGCGGCGUGCUUAACACAUGCAAGUCGAACGGAAAGGCCCUGCUUUUGUGGGGUGCUCGAGUGGCGAACGGGUGAGUAACACGUGAGUAACCUGCCCUUGACUUUAGGAUAACUUCAGGAAACUGGGGCUAAUACCGGAUAGGAGCUCCUGCUGCAUGGUGGGGGUUGGAAAGUUUCGGCGGUUGGGGAUGGACUCGCGGCUUAUCAGCUUGUUGGUGGGGUAGUGGCUUACCAAGGCUUUGACGGGUAGCCGGCCUGAGAGGGUGACCGGCCACAUUGGGACUGAGAUACGGCCCAGACUCCUACGGGAGGCAGCAGUGGGGAAUAUUGCACAAUGGGCGGAAGCCUGAUGCAGCAACGCCGCGUGCGGGAUGACGGCCUUCAGGUUGUAAACCGCUUUCGCCUGUGACGAAGCGUGAGUGACGGUAAUGGGUAAAGAAGCACCGGCUAACUACGUG